AUUGAACGCUAGCGGGAUGCUUUACACAUGCAAGUCGAACGGAGUGGCGGACGGGUGAGUAAUAUAUCGGAACGUGCCUAGUAGCGGGGGAUAACUACUCGAAAGCGUGGCUAAUACCGCAUACGAUUGGAGCAGCCCAAAUUGGAUUAGCUAGUUGGUGGGGUAAAGGCUCACCAAGGCAACGAUCCGUAGCUGGUCUGAGAGGAGGACCAGCCACACUGGGACGGCGACACGGCCCAGAUUCCUACGGGAGGCAGGAGUGGGGAAGUGUGGACAAUGGGGGAAACCCUGAUCCAGCCAUGCCGCGUGGAUGAUGAAGGCCUUCGGGUUGUAAAGUACUUUAGGCAGAGAAGCGGUAUCUACAGAAGAAGCACCGGCUAACUACGUGCCAGCAGCCGCGGUAAUAC
rnacentral:rRNA from 1 species